CUGAGAGAGACAAGGGAGUGUGCUCACAGCUCCUCACUAGCUGGUCUGCUCUCGGCCUGGAUAUGCAGGAAGACGGCAUCUCCAUUCCCCUAAGAAUCUAGUUAGGAUGGCGUGACUGAUGUAAGCCAGUGAGAGGGAUGUGAGUUGAAGCAGAGAGAUAUAUUGACUGGCCUAACAUCAGCGAACUAGGAGUAGAUGUGGGAGACCCUGUCCCCUAUUUCAUGCAGCAUGUCCCGCCGCUCUCCGAUUGGGCUGACCAGCAUCCAGCACCUGCACCCCGGAGCCAUCCUUCUGUCUCCUUUGAUUACUUCUUUCUAGCUUCUCCUGAACAUGCCGUAAGAUGCUGCCUAGGCUGUGAUAUCUUCUGCAGGUGAGAGACUCCUCCCAGAUCACACGCAUCUCUGUGAUACUGGAAUCUCGUGAGCAGUGAAAACAACUGGUUAGUUCAUUUACAUCAGAGCACAGACUGCUCUGAUCUGUCGUUGUGGAACCCCUAAGACUGACUGACCGAUAAUGAAUGCUUGUGCAGUAUGUCACAGGGUAUUGGGAAUGUAGUAGGGCUAAGGCAUUUACUGAUUUCCAGGACUGUAAGGAUGAAUUGUCUUCUGGUUUUGUAUUGGUACCACUUUUGUUUUGGUUAUCCAAAGGAGUUUAGGCAAAGCUUCUCCUUGUGACCCAGAGACUGGCACCAUUCUAGGUCAUGGGUCCGGGAAGCUCGCUCAUGCUGUUACUUGCUGGUAUCACACAGUCCGAACACCCCCGAUCCAGGUCUGCAGCAAGACCCCUGUUCCCCCUCUUGCCUCACAGGAGUUUGGUUUUCAUCCAUGACUAGAUCAUUUUGGGGAAUUAUCUUUCAAUUUUUGGCUACCCUAGUCAGCAAACUCUGUUUGCGAACUGCAUUUUUGUCUAACUAUGAACCCAGAGGCACUAUAAAAAGUUCAGCUCUGACACACCAUGGGGAAAAAAAAAGAAGAAUAAACACACACGCUGCGGGCUUUCUACUGUGUAAGAGUACAGGCUCAUUAGGGCUCUCAGUGAUCUCUGCAUACCGUGACCAUUUGUCUGAGAGCUGGCCAAGUUUGACCAGGAGCUAGAUUUCAGAAGCCUUGCACCUCCCUUGAGAGCAUUGUCACUGGUCUUAGACACGGGGUUGAAUUUAACCAAGUUAUCUUCACUGCACUCCUAAAUGAGAGAGCCGGAAGGGAGAUUGAGGCUCUGUCCUUUCUGCAAACAAGCUUCCUGCCUGUGCAUUUCUCAACUCAGCUCAAGAGCUUUGGGAGUUUGGCAGGCUCCUGAUGCUUUGGGGAGAUCUGAAUCACACCUGAAGCUGAUGGGUUGCUGACAUCUGGGGCUGUAAUUGAACCAAGAUGAGGGGAGAACACAUCUGGGCAGCAGCGCCAGGCCUUGUAAAGGUCUGGGUGGUGCUUUCUGAUUAUGGGGGUUUUUUUCUUCUGUUUUUAGAGACUCUGUUUAUCUUUUCUACCAGGAAAAAAAAAGAGUUGGAAUAACAUGAAUAACCAGAUUGAACUUGGUCAAAA
rnacentral:sRNA from 1 species